ensembl:lncRNA
CCUUCUCCAGCAGAAGCAGCUGGGCCAGAUAAAGACCACUGGGGUUUGGAUAUUUAGGAAUCUCCUCCACGGAACGCGGGGACGGGGACUAGAUUGCUACAUCAACGGCAGAAGUGCUGUAAUCUCAUCAGAAAAUGCUGCUUCCGGUGGUAUUUUCAACCCAGGAACAGAAGCAAGUGUCCGGAAUCACUGGAGAAAGCCCCAGGUCUCCCGAGAGCCCAUCGCGACUUUUUGUUGGCUGGGAGCACGCAUCAGUGAUCAGGCAGAUACCUGAGACUGCGGCCGCCUUUCCUACCCUUCCCUCGCCUCCCUUUCUCAGAUCACCGUAUUAACACAGCGCUGCUCCCCACCUGCCUAAGGUCACACAGCCCGACACAGGCUGCAGACAAUCCACGCAGCCAGUGCUAGGCCCUGCCUCCCAGGCUGCUUCAUUAUCCCGCUGACAUUACCCAAAUACUAAGGCAGACUGCCAUACCUUAAAAAAAAUCCCCAACGGCUAAUAGACACCAGGCAGAUCCAUACGCCAGCCGCUGUUUUGUGUGCUGUUUCAGCCCAGCGUGUAUUUUUUCCCACCCUCCCAGAUGAAAAUACAGUAAUUAACUCCAUGCGGUGGGGGGAUGGGGGAGGGAAUUCUUUUUUUUUCCCCUCCCUAGACUUGAAAAGAAAUUCUGGCAGAUAAUUUGGCUGAACAUGAAAAGGGAGAGGCUGCUUACAGCCGUCCAAAUAAAGUGCUAGGUUGGUGAAGCUGCACAGGCUGAGCUGGUUAUUUUCACCGCGUGAAAAGCAGACAUUUAUCUGUUCCCAUGGAGAUGUGUUUUCUACUAGUCAAUCAGGCAGUGAGGACAAUAGCCGGUAGAUCUUUUUUUUUUUUUUCAUCUUGAGAGACAGUCCUGCUUUAUUUUAACGUUUCACCUCCAUUUAAAGGAAUCUAAAUGGAGUCUCAGAAAUACCUGCAAGCAUAGCCACUAUCAUUUCAAGAGAUCCAAAUUAACAAGAAACUUCAACUGCCGAACAAGACUGGGGUGUGACCACUCCUCCAAUCUCACGUCCUUAUUUGUAUUUCUCUCCUUAUUUGUAUAAAUUUGGCUUCUCGACUUGAUCCCUCCCUCCCAAAUAAAAUAAUAAGGUCAUGACUUACAUGUUGAAAAUUUCCAAACAACUGUUGGGAAGCAAGAAGGGACCUUUCAAACAGAACAUCAUAGAAGCAAGACAAAGCUGGCCCAGAAAAGAGAAAAAAACAAAAACAAAACCUAAAGUGCUGAACGUUGGAUAAGUUGUAAACUUGCCCGAAAAGUGUUCAUGCAGAAAUGAUUAGAGCUGCUAUUUGACCUUCGGUGUUUGUUAUCAGUCCCCAGAAACCAGAUCAUGUCCGUUUGCAAAAUAUGUUUGCUUCAGUAGGUGAACUGCCGUGUGAGCGCCUGGAAACUGGGACCCACACAGAAGAUUUAAAUCUCUUCUUUCAAGUGUGCUUUUCCCCACUCCGUCUUCGCACACGCCUGGUACAGAAGAAAGUGCAGGUCUUCCUGGAGCUGACUGAGAGGGGCGAGCGUGUUUCCAAGGGAUCGCCCCGAGGCCAGCUCUCAACUCUGACUCCAGCAGAAGCCCCUGUACGGGAUGGGUGGCCGGGAUGGAUGGCCGUGUCACAGAAGACAGCACACAGCAGUCAGGAUGCAGUCAUUUGAGUGCCG